CGUAAUUGGAAUGGUGAUUUCACUUCAAUCUUCUGAAUAAAAGUUUCUCUAUUAUCACGAAUAGUAAGAAUUAUUUGCAUCAGGGAAGAAAAACUUUUUGUCUCAAAACGCUAAUAUUUUGUUCUGUUAAUUUAAUCAACGUAAUCUUUGCGAACACAAAAGUAGCUAUACAAUAGUUGGAAAGGUAAUAUGUAUUUGGCCUGGCCUAUUCGCGCAAUAAGUUGGCUUAAGGUAGUUCUGCACGUUUGAUAAACCAGAAGUGAUGGCGUAACGUCAUUUUUCCGGAAAACCUAGAAUAAAGCCUGGAUUUUGCGUACAGAAAUAGAAAUCAUUUUAUGAAUUAAUGACAACUUGUGUGUAAAUUUAUUACAAUGACACUGUUUCUAUAUUUCUAAAGUCAAAAUAAGAUAUUGAAACAUAUGACACGUUAAAUAAUUCAAAUAUAGUCUUAAAAUUAGCGUGGAAUAUUCAGUUCAAUUUAAUCAUGGGCAAAUAGCUCAAAAAUAAGUACACGGACCUAUACAUUUUAUUUCACCAUAUAAUAGGCCGUAUGUUUAUUUAUAACUGUGAGAAGUUUCACCAAAAUCUACAUUGUAGAAAAAAAAUCUGUCUUCGAAAAUGAUUUGAAAGUAAUGAUUUUCCCUUAGACUCCCAUUAUGAAAAAUCGCGUGAGGUCGGAAUUUUUCAAAUCAAUCUAGAAAAAUCAAGCACACGACCCUAUCCUUUUUUUUGCUGAAUUAUCUAGGUAUAUUCUGAAGUUUUGAAAAAUCGGAGUUUAAUCAAAUUCUACAUUUUAAAAAAAUGUUGAUCCAAACGUGCAGAACUCAAUAAGAAAAAGUUCAGUUGCAACACCAAAAACGUUCUUCCUCUAAUCCUCUCUCUUUAUCGUGACAUCUAAAUUUAGAACAGUCGCAAUUUGUCAAACAUUUAUAUCUCCUUUUAUUCUAUUGACUGACAUUUACAAAAAACUUUUACCAAAGUUUUACACAGUUGAUAUGGUUACCGCAAUAGAUUUAGCCUAGGUUUAUUAUUAACAGCGACAUUUACCAUUCUGUUUCGUAAUGUCAGAAGUUCAGUUUAAAGGGAAUUCCUAUAGUUUUUUAUGUGCAUCUUUCUGCGCAGCCGACACUAUCUAUGGACAAUUGAAGUGAAGUCAACAUUUGUUGAAACAUAUGACAGACAAUCUUAAAUAUGAGGAAUCAUGAAUAAAAUAACAUUUUUAAUAAGUUUUAUCAGUAAUCAAAUGUUGAUACUGGUUUAUGUUGUAUUGACAUGUAUCAUCAUGCCUGACAUGUGUCUUGCCAUUUUUGUGGCUGUGUUUUGACAGCGCAUAUAGUACAAAGACAGUGUUGUCCAUAUAAUAUUAGACAAUUGACUUUGUAUUGAUAAGACAAUAUCUCCUUUCAGAUUAUUAAGUAUUCAAUUAUAGAAGAAUUAAGAAUUUUUAAAACUUUUUUUUAACUUCUAGCAGAUAUACAUGUAAUCAGUUUGGUCAGGUCGCGCCAUUUUUCGUCCGAACAGGUAUGGAUUCACGCGGUCUUACAUAAAAUUUAGCCUGGUGACCCGUACUACCAUUAUUUAUACACAAGAAAAUUAAGAAAAAAUUCUAUGAAACAGUUUUUUCAAAAUUUAAAAAAAUAUUCUUCACUAUGGGUAUUUUUCAUUGAAAAAAGUUCACAAAAGUGAAUAUGAAACAAGAUAUUUUUUUUUCAUUUGUACCAAUUAUUGUAAUGACAUCUUAUUACAAAUAUAACUAUGAUAUAAAAUAAGUUUAUAAUAAAAUUUGUAAAAAGAAUAAACCUUAUUGUGCUGUCUUGAUGCAUGUUUUGGUUGGUAUUUAUAAUAAAGCAGAAAAUUAUGAAAAUGUUGAAAAAUCUCUGGAAGUUUAAGCAACAUUGGGUGUUUUUAUUUUUUCAUUGUUUUCAGCACAAAUUUUCCUAUCAUAUAUACGAAUUUGAAAAAAAUCUAUGAAAGGGAAAAACCUAUAGGAAUUCUCUUUAAGCUAUGUCGACAGUCUCAGUUCCGCCAUUCGACUGAUGUAUGACGUCACCAAAAUGGCGUCAGUUUUGAAAUUGAAUUGCCGUCAUCUUCAAAUGAUUUAUUGGGCCAGACAACACAGAAAGUUUGCUGGGAUUCAAGGUGGUACAAUGACUCUGGUGUCCUAGGAAACAGAUCAAGUUAUGAACACCAGUCGAUAAAUGUAUUAAAUGCAAUUUGCUCCAGUGGAUCUGUGAUUGCUGCGCAGUGUAGGGACGAUAAAGGAGAACCAUUUCAGUUAAUCAAGAACUCUUCUGCAAACCAGUACUACGCAGUAUGUAACCACGUGAACGGACUUAUAUGCCAUCCUUACAAUAAUUCACAAAACGCAACAUGUCCCGACUACGCAAUACAGUAUGGCUGUAACUGCCCAACAACAACCGGAGGUAAUUUUGGAGGUUCUGGUGUUGGAAUCACAACUCUGAAAACCGGAGACGGACACGGUGUAUCUGGUUACAAAAAUGGCGGCGGCGGUAGUUCUGGUUUCCAGACUACCGGAAGUGGAGCAGGACCGAGUGUGUCUGGUCAGCAAAAUAGUCAUUGCAGAAACGAUGGUCAGCAUUACGGAGCCAGCCAUUUAGUGCAGCUGAUAUGCACCAUUACUUUAAAAGUUCUUUUUUAACUUUACGAUUUGCGCUGUUAACAUGGCGUCUGUUGGAGCGGUAUUACUACAUGCUAGAGGUGAAAAUAACAGCCGAAAUGUAUAAAAUAAAACAUGUAUGUCAGAAACAGAAUUAAAUUUAUUUUGAAUAAUCCAAUGGUAAUAAUAAUAUUCACUGCUGCUGACGGGCAUCAUAAAUAUGUCUCAAAGCAAUAAACGGUAAUGCGUGAAAACUUUGUUUUUAUUGUUUCGUGCAUAAUGAAGACAUUCUGCAAUAAUAUAUACUUGACUGAGAUCCUAUUUGGCAAUGAUUGGAAGGACAUAUUACACCCCGGAAUUUAAAACGAAAUCCUAUCCGACAUGCAAGAAAUUUGAAAUAUAUGGUAUAUGUUUAAAAUAAACUUAUAGGCUACUUGUACUCCUCGUCAAGAUGGGCCAAUAGUGUUGCUGUUCUUAUAAAUUGGAUUGGUCAGGUUUAUACUAGAAGGUUGGUCAGGGCUUUGGAUAUGCGAUGUGUAUUUUAUUUUUUUCAUUAUUUUUUAGCAUGUAUCCUCUUCAUGGAACCGUCCAUGUUAACAAGCAAGUUUGUUUAUUUUAUGAGGACAAUUGUAAUAAUAUUGAUAAGAAGUCAAUUAUGUGACUAGUGUGAUAAAACUGCUAAAAUAUCAAUAAUGUGAAAUUAAUGUUUAACCGCUACUUUCGGCCAUUACCAACAGACGAGCAAUCAAAUGUUCUAAAAUAUUUACGGUAAGACAUCAAAGUCAGAAGAUAAUCAGUAAACAUUUAAAAUGAUCAAUUAAUUGAUGAUGCUUCCUGUUUCAGCUAAUUGUAUUAUGGUAUACUGUCGUCUCGAGAAACUUGCUGUCACUGUAGGUGAAAGAACACCAAUAAUUUUCCCAUAUACAAACAAUAAAAUAU